AGAGUUUGAUCAUGGCUCAGGAUGAACGCUAGCGGCAGGCUUAAUACAUGCAAGUCGUGGGGCAGCACAGGUAGCAAUACUGGGUGGCGACCGGCAAACGGGUGCGGAACACGUACGCAACCUUCCUUUAAGCGGGGAAUAGCCCAGGGAAACUUGGAUUAAUACCCCAUAAGACAGUGGACUGGCAUCAGUCAGCUGUUAAAGCUCCGGCACUUAAAGAUGGGCGUGCGGCUGAUUAGGUAGUUGGCGGGGUAACGGCCCACCAAGCCAACGAUCAGUAACUGGUGUGAGAGCACGACCAGUCACACGGGCACUGAGACACGGGCCCGACUCCUACGGGAGGCAGCAGUAAGGAAUAUUGGUCAAUGGACGCAAGUCUGAACCAGCCAUGCCGCGUGGAGGAUGAAGGCCCUCUGGGUUGUAAACUUCUUUUAUUGGGGAAGAACUCUAUCCUUUCUAGGGUAGUUGACGGUACCCGAUGAAUAAGCACCGGCUAACUCCGUGCCAGCAGCCGCGGUAAUACGGAGGGUGCAAGCGUUAUCCGGAUUCACUGGGUUUAAAGGGUGCGUAGGUGGGCAGGUAAGUCAGUGGUGAAAUCUCCGGGCUUAACCCGGAAACUGCCGUUGAUACUAUCUGUCUUGAAUGUAGUGGAGGUGAGCGGAAUAUGUCAUGUAGCGGUGAAAUGCUUAGAUAUGACAUAGAACAUCGAUUGCGAAGGCAGCUCGCUACACUAUUAUUGACACUGAGGCACGAAAGCGUGGGGAUCAAACAGGAUUAGAUACCCUAGUAGUCC
rnacentral:rRNA from 1 species